GGGAUUGUGGCGACGGGUGAGUACACGUGGGCAAUCUGCCCUUCACUCUGGGACAAGCCCUGGAAACGGGGUCUAAUACCGGAUAACACUCUGUCCCGCAUGGGACGGGGUUGAAAGCUCCGGCGGUGAAGGAUGAGCCCGCGGCCUAUCAGCUUGUUGGUGGGGUAAUGGCCUACCAAGGCGACGACGGGUAGCCGGCCUGAGAGGGCGACCGGCCACACUGGGACUGAGACACGGCCCAGACUCCUACGGGAGGCAGCAGUGGGGAAUAUUGCACAAUGGGCGAAAGCCUGAUGCAGCGACGCCGCGUGAGGGAUGACGGCCUUCGGGUUGUAAACCUCUUUCAGCAGGGAAGAAGCGAAAGUGACGGUACCUGCAGAAGAAGCGCCGGCUAACUACGUGCCAGCAGCCGCGGGUAAUACG
rnacentral:rRNA from 1 species